ACCACUGUGGCAGGGGAGAGGGAGGAGGGGAAGCUGGUGAAGCCACUGAUAUUCAUGAAGACGCCAAGUGUUUUUUUUUUUUCUCUUUCUCUCUCCUCUCUCUCUCUCCCUCUCUCUUUGCCGUGGUGACACACUGCUCGUCUGCGGAGAGACAGAGGGGGGACGCAGGGAGGACAGGACGGGGGGAGGACGGAGACGAGGCCCGGCCCAUCUUGCCAUUGAUCUUGAGGCGAUCAAGACUCCAGCGUGAGAAAGUCCUUUCAUCGAGUGUGGGUGUGUUCUUGGUGACCCUGGAGGAAAAAAAGAGUCGUCUCCACCACCACCACCACCUCCACCUCCACCAUGUGUCUGUGCACCAGCAGCUCAAUCAUAAACACCGAUAUGCUGAAGCGUGUCCUAUCCAAUGGAAUUAGGGGAAUCUGCAGCGGAGACGAGACACGCCGGAUCCCUGCGAGUCAAACCUGCAGUUUUCCGACGUCUGGAUUUUCCUCAGAUGAGCCGAUCGCAUCGAACGCCUCUCUCCCCUGUGCAGGAUUCUAGAUCCGUGUGAACCAAUCAGACGGAGGGAAACCGAGAUCUGAGACAGGAGAGACACUCUGUACGAGUUCCCCUGGAUUUGUGGGUUCCUUUUCUAACUUGUUGGUGAAAAUUGCAUCCAUGUGGGAUCCGGUUUACGUUUGGGGAACGCCGCACGAACGACACUCCAGCCUGGAUGGUUAUUUCGGAGAACAUGGGAGAAACAGGUUUUCCUCAGCGGCCGCAUCAUGAACUCUGAGCAGGACAUCCCGUCGGCUUGUCUCGCCAAAGGAAGACGACGACGACAUGCAGACACGCUUGUUUUUUCCCCCCAGAAACUUGUAGCUUACACUUAAAAUGGAGUGAGACUUUUUUUUUUGAUUUUCCUUCCUUCUGCCUUUGGCUCUGGGACAAAAACAACAACAGAUCAACAGAUCCAGGAGAGGACGCCGGGUGGCAGCCUUCUGAGGGGCCGAGGUGUGG